rnacentral:rRNA from 1 species
AGGGCGUAUGGGGGAUGCCUAGGCUCUUGGAGGCUAAGAAGGACGUGGUAAGCUGCGAAAAGCUGCGGGGAUUUGCAAACGAGACUCGAUCCGCAGAUAUCCGAAUGGGACAACCCGGCAGGUAGAAGACCUGUCACACCGCGAGGUGAGCUAACCCUCUGAACUGAAACAUCUAAGUAGGAGGAGGAAAAGAAAGAAACAUCGAUUUCCAAAGUAGCGGCGAGCGAAAUGGAAGAAGCCCAAACCGAUAUUGUUACGGCAAUAUCGGGGUUGUAGGACUGCAAUAUUCAAUUAACAAUGAACUGGAAUGGUCUGGAAAGUCCAUCCAUAGAGAGUGAAAGGCUCGUACAGGUAAGUUUGUUAUGCGAAAGCAGUAUCCUGAGUAUGGCGGGACACGAGGAAUCCUGUCAGAAUCAGCCGGGACCACCCGGUAAGGCUAAAUACUCCCAAGAGACCGAUAGUGGACCAGUACUGUGAAGGAAAGGUGAAAAGAACCCCGAACAGGGGAGUGAAAUAGAACCUGAAACCAUACGCUUACAACCGGUCGGAGCAGCUUCGUGCUGUGACGGCGUGCCUAUUGAAUAAUGAGCCUACGAGUUACUAAUCACUAGCGAGGUUAAGUGCAAGGAUGCACGGAGCCGAAGCGAAAGCGAGUCUGAACAGGGCGUUUAGUUAGUGGUUGUAGACGCGAAACCUUGCGAUCUACCCUUGAGCAGGUUGAAGGUUGGGUAAAACCAACUGGAGGACCGAACGAAUAAGCGUUGAAAAGCUUCUCGAUGACUUGAGGGUAGGGGUGAAAGGCUAAUCAAGCUGGGAAAUAGCUCGUACUCCCCGAAAUGCCUUUUGGGGCAGCGUUGUAAUAAAGAGUCUACUGGAGGUAGAGCUACUGAUUGGAUGCGGGGGCUUCACCGCCUACCAAAUCCUGACAAACUCCGAAUGCCAGUAGUAUGAUUUACAGCAGUGAGUGACUGGGUGCUAAUGUCCAGUCGCAAAAGAGGAACAACUCAGACCAGCAACUAAGGUCCCGAAGAAUAUGCUAAGUUGAUCUAACGAUGUUUUGUUGCAGAGACAGCUAGGAUGUUAGCUUGGAAGCAGCUAUUCAUUCAAAGAGUGCGUAACAGCUCACUAGUCGAGCGACAGAGCGUGGAUAAUAAACGGGCAUCAAGCAUAUCACCGAAGUUCUGGGCGCGAGAGCGCGGUAGGGGAGCAUUCCAUUCAGCGUCGAAGCAGUUUCGUGAGGAAUUGUGGAGCGUAUGGAAAAGCAAAUGUAGGCAUGAGUAACGAUAAUGCGGGAGAGUAACCCGCACACCGCAAGACCAAGGUUUCCUGAUCAACGCUAAUCGGAUCAGGGUUAGUCGGGUCCUAAGGGUAAGCCGAACGGCGAUCUCGAUGGAUAAUCGGUUAAUAUUCCGAUACUAACAUAUACCUCGAUGGAGAGACGAAGGAACGUAAGUGCCGCCACCUGACGGAAUAGGUGGUUAAAGGGCGUAGGUAUAGGGGCAGAUUAAGAGUUAGUCCUUGCUGAAACCUGACAGUACAGAGAGCCUACGGGCAAUUUGAUAGAGCACCCAAGUCGACUUCCGAGAAAAUCUUCUAAGUUAUAGUAUAUGUUACCCGUACCGUAAACCGACACAGGUGGUCGAGGAGAGUAUCCUAAGGUGCUCGAGUGAAUCACGGUUAAGGAACUAGGCAAAUUAACCCCGUAACUUCGGGAAAAGGGGUCCCUAUGAAAGUAGGGCGCAGCGAAGAGGUCCAGGCGACUGUUUAUCAAAAACACAGGGCUCUGCAAAUUCGAAAGAAGACGUAUAGGGCCUGACACCUGCCCGGUGCUGGAAGGUUAAGAGGGGAUGUCAUCGCAAGAGAAGCAUUGAAUCGAAGCCCCAGUAAACGGCGGCCGUAACUAUAACGGUCCUAAGGUAGCGAAAUUCCUUGUCGGGUAAGUUCCGACCUGCACGAAUGGUGUAACGAUCUGGACACUGUCUCAACCGUGAGCUCGGUGAAAUUGUAGUCCCGGUGAUGAUGCCGGGUACCCGCAACGGGACGAAAAGACCCCGUGAACCUUUACUAUAGCUUAACGCUGAAUUUGGGUACACAAUGUGUAGGAUAGG